CAUGUGUCGAACUGAUGUUGUCACUCGGACGCUUCCUUGUAAAACGUAUAUUGAAGUUAAGCGCUGUGAUGAUCUCGACCUCGACAUGAGUUUACUAACAACAGACGAUAUUCCCGUACUUUAAUCUGAAUUAUUUGAAAUCGUGAACAUAAAAAGAAAACGUGCAUUGGUCGGUUCCUCGUCUGAAAAUACAUCCAUAUUAAACAAUAGGCGUAUGACAGACGAGGCCAAAACCUCUGGUCAGAUUACAUGUUUAUCGUUCGGUUCACCUAUGACCUCGUUUGUUUACCUUGCUCCCGAGAUGUGACGAGAGUGCUCCUCGAGCUCGUGCGAUCUAAAUGUGCACGAUGCAAGUAUUAAAUACUGUAAUAUUUAUCUUAAAAGUAUGACACAAUAGAAGUUUAUGAUUUAGAAUAAAAAACACGCACAAGUAAAAAUGAAUCGUGUUAAUCUCUGGCAGUAAAAUAUUUAUCCCAUGAUGCAACACACACGAGUUUAGCGGGAAGUCUGAUAGCCAUGUUUGAAUUCACCGGAUGUUUAUUUCCAGAAGAAAAGUAUAAACAAACACGACGAUAGCCUAAAAACGAAGUUUGUUUCCCGUCUUACUGAAGAAGAUCGACUUACUUCAAGUUACCGACGAAUGAAUAUCAGCUUUCUCGUUGUUUUUGACGACCGAUGCAUAUUUUUACCGACAAACAUCGUUACGAGACAGGGUAAGUUUUAAUUAUAUAAUCUUCUUCACGUUCUGACAUCGUUUCACAUUAUACGACGAUGAAUUUGAUAUGGAUCUAUUCAUAUCAAUAAUACCUAAUUAUUUAUUUUUCAGGAUUUUGAUGAUUAAUUUAUCACAGAUUACACGGCCGAAGGAAACGCAGUACCGAUCCAUGUGUUACAAUCAGACUGAGUCUGCAUGCAGUACAUUCUGGAAUGAGGAACAUCGCAUGCAUUGUGGUCCAAAUUGAUGGCAUUGACUUAACACAAAGCAGAAAGGAAUGAAGAGAAAUUAAGAAGUUUAUGUUUCACAUUAAUUAAGAUUAUUCGAGAUAUGUUAUCUGUCGAGGUAUACAACAUUUCCUUUCAUAAUAAAAGUGUAAACAUUAAUAUAUAUACAAAAAAAAAUCAUGUAUAUAAUCUAAAAAUCCUUGUUAGUUAUUUGUUGUACUAGCAAAAAAUAUAAUAGUCGUCUCAAGCUUGGUUGUAUUGAAAUCCUCGGGGACAGUGACAGAGAUAUAUCACUACAGUACGUGCUACAUCAAACAACACACCAUUGUUCAAAUUGUCAAUCAACAUUUCAUUUAGUCAGUAUUUAGAAUUGAUUCCAACAUUAUGAUAAUCUUUUCACAGUUUAUUAGAAAUAAUGUUAAAUUCGAUAGAAGAAGUCUUCGACUGUUGCUUGUUUUUGUUUAUUUUAAGUUCACAGACACACAUGAAAACAGUUUCCAGUACAUCUGGGCUACUUCGAGGAAACUACGUAUACUGUCUGAAAUCAGUCUUGUGCGUCGACGACAAAAUGUAUACAUAUCCUACUUUAACUCUGCUGGAAAAUAUUAUUUUGUACUAUUUUCCUACUAUUUUAGAA